CCUAACUACCGCCGUGACCCUACCACCAUAACCCUAAUUAACUACCGCUGUGACCCUACCACCAUGACCCUAACUACAGCCAUGACCCUACCUACCACCAUGACCUUAAGUAACUACCACCACGACCCUAACUACCAUGACCCUAACUACAGCCGUGACCCUAACUACCACCCAUGACCCUACUCACUACAGCCGUGACCCUAAGUACCACCCAUGACCCUAACUACAGCCAUGACCCUAACUACCACCAUGACCCUACCACCGUGACCUAACUACAGCCAUGACCCUAACUACCACCAUGACCCUAACUAACUACCACCAUGACCCUAACUACCGCUGUGACCCUAACUACCACCAUGACCCUAACUACAGCCAUGGCCCUAACUACAGCCGUGACCCUAACUACCACCAUGACCCUAACUAACUACCACCAUGACCCUAACUACCGCUGUGACCCUAACUACCACCAUGACCCUAACUACAGCCAUGGCCCUAACUACAGCCGUGACCCUAACUACCACCAUGACCCUAACUACCACCAUGACCCUAACUACCACCAUGACCCUACUCACUACAGCCAUGACCCUAAGUAC
rnacentral:lncRNA from 1 species